AGUUCUGUGAAUGACAUUUCAGGGACUGACUCUGCUCCUCUACUGCUCACCUGGAACAUCAGGAAUGGAACAAUGAUAGUGUACAGCUACUCUCAAUGCAAGGAAAACAAAUACUUGUUCAUCAUGUAAUACAUCAAUAUAAAAGAUAGGAAAAAACAGUGUUUGUUGACUCCUGGCACACUACCCAGUGUUCAUCCAGAAUUUUAAUAUACUGGUACUCAUAUACAACCAUAACAUUUCUUCUGUUACUCCCUACUUGUGAGUGUAAAGGCUGAGAUACUGCAGAAGAACAGACAAAAAUUCACCUGCAAAGAUCCCCCAAACCCAUGACAAACCUGAAAACCCUGGAAAUAUACCAGAAACCUGGCAUGAAAGUUCGUGUUUUGACAAAUGUACUGCAAGAGUAAUGCCCCUCCAGCCAGAAUUUUAAACUCAAAAUUUCUUCUGAACAUUAGUCCAUCACUUUGCACGUGUUAUGAUUCACCUGAACAAUCUUACCACCUCAGUCCUGCUUGGCCUUAUUGAUGUUUGUAUCCAAAGAGCACGUCCCUACUCCAUACAGAGGAGAACAGGCACAGCUGGAGUGACAAU